UCGAAUUCAUUCGACGAUGAACAUUUUUCCUUUUUCUGAUUUUGUUUCCUAAAAACUUGACGUUGUGCCUGAGGAAGAGACUUUAAGUCUCGAAACAUGUAGCACUUAUAUAAAAAUAAAUUUCUUUCAUCGUU